AUAAUUUUCAUUUAAAACUCUCCAUGUUUACUGAGCACUUUAUAUUUAGAAUUCACAUCAGAGUUAGUUUCUACAUUUUCAGCUUGAGGAUUUUGGCCAACAUGGCCGACCAUUUGGACACUGCUGCAAAAACAUGAACAAGCUUGAGGGUUGAGCCAGAUGCUGGAACUGAUCAGAGUCUGUAAAGAAUUGCCCCAAAAAACGUAACACACUACUUCUCCUGAUUUGGCCUCUUGUUGCUGUGAGGUACUAGAUCAUAUCAGUAACCAGCUAGAAAAUAGUUUAAGUUUAUAAAUGUAAAAGAAUUGCAAGGCUGCUCAUAUUAUACAUAAUUUAUAGUUUAAAAGAUUCCCAAGAACAUCCUGCCCUCUAGUGGUCUAACCUGCUCAGCAGAAUCAAAACUUAACCUUCUAAAAAUUAAAUUAAAGAGCACUUUCC